GAUGAACGCUGGCGGCGUGCCUGAUACAUGCAAGUCGAGCGAACAGACGAGGAGCUUGCUCCUCUGACGUUAGCGGCGGACGGGUGAGUAACACGUGGAUAACCUACCUAUAAGACUGGGAUAACUUCGGGAAACCGGAGCUAAUACCGGAUAAUAUAUUGAACCGCAUGGUUCAAUAGUGAAAGACGGUUUUGCUGUCACUUAUAGAUGGAUCCUCGCCGCAUUAGCUAGUUGGUAAGGUAACGGCUUACCAAGGCAACGAUGCGUAGCCGACCUGAGAGGGUGAUCGGCCACACUGGAACUGAGACACGGUCCAGACUCCUACGGGAGGCAGCAGUAGGGAAUCUUCCGCAAUGGGCGAAAGCCUGACGGAGCAACGCCGCGUGAGUGAUGAAGGUCUUCGGAUCGUAAAACUCUGUUAGUAGGGAAGAACAAAUGUGAAAGUAACUAUGCACGUCUUGACGGUACCUAAUCAGAAAGCCACGGCUAACUACGUG
rnacentral:rRNA from 1 species